ACCUUAUCAUUUAGGGGAAGGAGAAGUCGUAACAAGGUUUCUGUAGGUGAACCUGCGGAAGAAUCAUUGCCGAA
rnacentral:rRNA from 1 species